CUCAGUUCAGGCUAAGGUUCUAUUCGGUGUGGGCUGAAAUGCCAUUAUUUUCAUGGUUACUGGUGGUGGUGAGUGAGUGUUGCUCCCAGGGGCAUGUCUUGGCCUCUGUCCUGAUUUUCCAGAGGUUCCCCUUCCUACAAUGUCCCUGGUUCCUGCCAUGCUUUCACCACCUCUCGGCCCUCUGUAAAGCAGCCCUCUAUAAAACAGACCAAGAGGUCUCCUGUUCCCAUAAAUUUUAAUGAGAGGUUGUUCUCACUGCAGGUAAGACUGUUGGUGGGGGAUUAUCUGACCCCUGGGUGUGGUCUGUG